CGUGCAGGCGGUUCGGAAAGUUGGAUGUGAAAGCUCCUGGCUCAACUGGGAGAGGUCGUUCAAAACUACCGGACUAGAGGGCAGUAUAGGGAGAUGGAAUUCCCGGUGUAGUGGUGAAAUGCGUAGAUAUCGGGAGGAACACCAGUGGCGAAAGCGAUCUCCUGGACUGUCUCUGACGCUCAGACGCGAAAGCUAGGGUAGCAAACGG
rnacentral:rRNA from 1 species